rnacentral:rRNA from 1 species
UACGUAGGGGGCAAGCGUUGUCCGGAAUCAUUGGGCGUAAAGCGCGUGUAGGCGGCCCGGUAAGUCCGCUGUGAAAGUCCAGGGCUCAACCCUGGGAUGCCGGUGGAUACUGUCGGGCUCGAGUCCGGAAGAGGCGAGUGGAAUUCCUGGUGUAGCGGUGAAAUGCGCAGAUAUCAGGAGGAACACCAAUGGCGAAGGCAGCUCGCUGGGACGGUACUGACGCUAAGGCGCGAAAGCGUGGGGAGCAAACAGG